GUUUUCUUAAAAUUCUUGUUAAAAAUCUCCCUCCAAAAUCAAUUAAUUCUCUCCCCUUACCUUCAUCAAUUUGCAUUCUUAUUUCAGUUUCACCCUUUCGUUCUUAUUCAAGUUUCAUCAGGACCUAGGGAUUCACGUGAUAGGAUUGGGAAGAGAAGUUGUUUCCAUCGAUUGUUAUACAAGAACUGGUAAGUAACAAUGGCUAACGGAAGGGAGAGUGCGCUCAAUUUCUAUUAAGGUGUUGCUGUGGAUUGCAUUUCCGAUCAUUAGCAUGAGUCCAUGGGCUUUAAUUUUCUCAGGAUUAGACCUAUAGGCCGUAAUGUUAUGGUUGGAGAGGCUAAAAGAAGCAGAGUAACAAUUAUAGAGCUGCUACAACAAAGCCUAGAACAACAUGCUGCAAGUGUACUGUUUUCUUCAACUAUAACCAA